rnacentral:rRNA from 1 species
AUUGAACGCUGGCGGCAGGCCUAACACAUGCAAGUCGAGCGGAUGAAGGGAGCUUGCUCCUGGAUUCAGCGGCGGACGGGUGAGUAAUGCCUAGGAAUCUGCCUGGUAGUGGGGGAUAACGUCCGGAAACGGGCGCUAAUACCGCAUACGUCCUGAGUGAGAAAGUGGGGGAUCUUCGGACCUCUCGCUAUCAGAUGUGCCUAGGUCGGAUUAGCUAGUUGGUGGGGUAAAGGCCUACCAAGGCGACGAUCCGUAACUGGUCUGAGAGGAUGAUCAGUCACACUGGAACUGAGACACGGUCCAGACUCCUACGGGAGGCAGCAGUGGGGAAUAUUGGACAAUGGGCGAAAGCCUGAUCCAGCAAUGCCGCGUGUGUGAAGAAGGUCUUCGGAUUGUAAAGCACUUUAAGUUGGGAGGAAGGGAAGUAAGUUAAUACCUUGCUGUUUUGACGUUACCAAAAGAAUAAGCACCGGCUAACUUCGUG